rnacentral:rRNA from 1 species
GAUGAACGCUAGCGGCAGGCCUAAUACAUGCAAGCCGAACGGCAAGUUUGAUAGCAAUAUUGGACCUAGAGUGGCGCAAGGGUGCGUAACACGUAUGCAACCUGCCCGCGACAGGAGGAUAGCUCCCCGAAAGGGGAAUUAACCCUCCAUAACACCAUGAGAAGGCAUCUGAUUAUGGUUAAACCGCACGGGGUCGCGGAUGGGCAUGCGGUUGAUUAGCUAGUUGGCGGGGUAAAGGCCCACCAAGGCGGUGAUCAAUAGGGGUUCUGAGAGGAAGGUCCCCCACACUGGCACUGAGAUACGGGCCAGACUCCUACGGGAGGCAGCAGUAGGGAAUAUUAGACAAUGGUUGCAAGACUGAUCCAGCCAUGCCGCGUGCAGGAAGAAGGCCUUCUGGGUCGUAAACUGCUUUUUCCUGUGGAUAAAAUACCCGGGCGCGGGGAAUUGAAGGUAACAGGGGAAUAAGCCACGGCUAACUACGUG